UACGAGGGGGGCAAGCGUUGUUCGGAAUUAUUGGGCGUAAAGAGCGUGUAGGCGGCCGUACAGGUCAGCUGUGAAAACUCGAGGCUCAACCUCGAGACGUCGGUUGAAACCGUACGGCUAGAGUCCGGAAGAGGAGAGUGGAAUUCCCGGUGUAGCGGUGAAAUGCGCAGAUAUCGGGAAGAACACCCGUGGCGAAGGCGGCUCUCUGGGACGGUACUGACGCUGAGACGCGAAAGCGUGGGGAGCGAACAGG
rnacentral:rRNA from 1 species